UCAGAUAAUCAGAGAACUUUAUUUAUUAUUUCAGAGCAUCUGAUAAUAGAAGACAUCACUUAAUUUUAGAUGGUUGCCAUAAUAGUUGAUGCCACUCCAGCUAACGUACAUGCUGAAAGCCACUAUAAGGUGGUGGUAGCUUUCUGGAGCACCUUCCCAAUCCCUCAAGCAAAAAGGAACCAGAUACAAAUGCCCCACC
rnacentral:lncRNA from 1 species